rnacentral:rRNA from 1 species
GAUGCGUGCAGCUUUCUUGCUGACGCAGCGGCGGACGGGUGAGUAAUGUAUGGGGAUCUGCCCGAUAGAGGGGGAUACCUACUGGAAACGGUGGCUAAUACCGCAUAAUGUCUACGGACCAAAGCAGGGGCUCUUCGGACCUUGCACUAUCGGAUGAACCCAUAUGGGAUUAGCUAGUAGGUGGGGUAAAGGCUCACCUAGGUCGACGAUCUCUAGCUGGUCUGAGAGGAUGAUCAACCACACUGGGACUGAGACACGGCCCAGACUCCUACGGGAGGCAGCAGUGGGGAAUAUUGCACAAUGGGCGCAAGCCUGAUGCAGCCAUGCCGCGUGUAUGAAGAAGGCCUUAGGGUUGUAAAGUACUUUCAGCGGGGAGGAAGGUGAUAAGGUUAAUACCCUUAUCAAUUGACGUUACCCGCAGAAGAAGCACCGGCUAACUCCGUGCCAGCAGCCGCGGUAAUACGGAGGGUGCAGCGUUAAUCGGAAUUACUGGGCGUAAAGCGCACGCAGGCGGUCAAUUAAGUCAGAUGUGAAAGCCCCGAGCUUAACUUGGGAAUUGCAUCUGAAACUGGUUGGCUAGAGUCUUGUAGAGGGGGGUAGAAUUCCAUGUGUAGCGGUGAAAUGCGUAGAGAUGUGGAGGAAUACCGGUGGCGAAGGCGGCCCCCUGGACAAAGACUGACGCUCAGUGCGAAAGCGUGGGGAGCAACAGGAUUAGAUACCCUGGUAGUCCACGCUGUAACGAUGUCGAUUUAGAGGUUGUGGUCUUGAACCGUGGCUUCUGGA